CUUUGAAUUAGUCCAUAAUUGUGCUUCGUUUGUACUAAUUUCUAAGCGAAUGCUAGGUGAUUGUGCAAGAACGAAGCGUAUUUUAGGUGUUUAUGGCUUGAGGAAAGGAAAUAGGGAUCUAGGUAUGUU